rnacentral:rRNA from 1 species
UAUAGAGGGUGCGAGCGUUAAUCGGAAUUACUGGGCGUAAAGCGUGCGUAGACGGUUAUUUAAGUCGGAUGUGAAAGCCCCGGGCUCAACCUGGGAAUUGCAUUCGAGACUGAAUAGCUAGGGUACGGUAGAGGGAAGUGGAAUUUCCGGUGUAGCGGUGAAAUGCGUAGAUAUCGGAAGGAGCAUCAGUGGCGAAAGCGACUUCCUGGACCAGUACCGACGUUCAGGCACGAAAGCGUGGGGAGCAAACAGG